GACGAACGCUGGCGGCGUGCUUAACACAUGCAAGUCGAACGGAAAGGCCCUGCUUUUGUGGGUUGCUCGUGUGGCGAACGGGUGAGUAACACGUGAGUAACCUACCCUUGACUUUGGGAUAACUUCAGGAAACUGGGGCUAAUACCGGAUAGGAGCUCCUGCUGCAUGGUGGGGGUUGGAAAGAUUCGGCGGUUGGGGAUGGACUCGCGGCUUAUCAGCUUGUUGGUGGGGUAGUGGAUUACAAAGGCUUUGACGGGUAGCCGGCCUGAGAGGGUGACCGGCCACAUUGGGACUGCGGUACGGCCCAGACGCCUACGGGAGGCAGCAGGGGAGAAUAUUGCGCAGUGGGCGGAAGCCUGAUGCGGCAGCGCCGCGUGCGGGAUGACGUCCUUCGGGUUGUAAACCGCUUUCGCCUGUGACGAGGCGUGAGUGACGGUAAUGGGUAAAGAAGCACCGGCUAACUACGUG
rnacentral:rRNA from 1 species